GGAGAGUUGGCUGAGCGGUCGAAAGCGGCGGUCUUGAAAACCGUUGAUGUGAGAGCAUCCUGGGGUUCGAAUCCCUAACUCUCCGCCA
rnacentral:tRNA from 1 species